GAUGAACGCUGGCGGCGUGCCUAAUACAUGCAAGUCGAGCGAAUGGAUUAAGAGCUUGCUCUUAUGAAGUUAGCGGCGGACAGGUGAGUGACACGUGGGUAACCUGCCCAUAAGACUGGGAUAACUCCGGGAAACCGGGGCUAAUACCGGAUAACAUCUUGAACCGCAUGGUUCGAAAUUGAAUGGCGGCUUCGGCUGUCACUUAUGGCUGGACCCGCGUCGCAUUAGCUAGUUGGUGAGGUAACGGCUCACCAAGGCAACGAUGCGUAGCCGACCUGAGAGGGUGAUCGGCCACACUGGGACUGAGACACGGCCCAGACUCCUACGGGAGGCAGCAGUAGGGAAUCUUCCGCAAUGGACGAAAGUCUGACGGAGCAACGCCGCGCGAGUGAUGAAGGCUUUCGGGUCGUAAAACUCUGUUGUUAGGGAAGAACAAGUGCUAGUUGAAUAAGCUGGCACCUUGACGGUACCUAACCAGAAAGCCACGGCUAACUACGUGCCAGCAGCCGCCGUAA
rnacentral:rRNA from 1 species